CCUACGGGAGGCAGCAGUGAGGAAUAUUGGUCAAUGGGCGCAAGCCUGAACCAGCCAAGUCGCGUGAAGGAUGACUGCCCUCUGGUUUGUAACCUUCUUUUAUAGGGGAGUAAAGUGAACCACGUGUGCCUCUUUGUCUGUACCUUAUGACUAAGCAUCGGCUAACUCCGUGCCAGCAGCCGCGGUAAUACGGAGGAUUCGAGCGUUAUCCGGAUUUAUUGGGUUUAAAGGGUGCGUAGUUGGGUUGUUAAGUCCGUUGUGAAAGUUUGGGGCUCAACCGUAAAAUUGCAGUUGAAACUGGAAGUCUUGAGUGUGGUUGAGGUAGGCGGAAUUCGUGGUGUAGCGGUGAAAUGCUUAGAUAUCACGAAGAACUCCGAUUGCGAAGGCAGCUUACUAAACCGCAACUGACAUUGAUGCACGAAAGUGUGGGGAUCAAACAGGAUUAGAUACCCGAGUAGUC
rnacentral:rRNA from 1 species